rnacentral:rRNA from 1 species
GAAAUAAGGUUAAGUUAAUAAGGGCGCACGGUGGAUGCCUUGGCACUAGAAGCCGAAGAAGGACGUGACUAACGAC